rnacentral:rRNA from 1 species
GGGGGGGGCAAGCGUUGUUCGGAAUUACUGGGCGUAAAGGGCGCGUAGGCGGUUGGAUAAGUCAGCUGUGAAAACCACGGGCUUAACUCGUGGCCUGCAGUUGAGACUGUCUGGCUUGAGUGUGGGAGAGGAGAGUGGAAUUCCUGGUGUAGCGGUGAAAUGCGUAGAUAUCAGGAGGAACACCGGUGGCGAAGGCGGCUCUCUGGACCACAACUGACGCUGAGGCGCGAAAGCUAGGGGAGCAAACAGGAUUAGAUACCCUGGUAGUCCUAGCUGUAAACGAUGGAUACUUGCUGUGGGGGGUGUUAAAUCCCCCUGUGGCGGAGCUAACGCAUUAAGUAUCCCGCCUGGGGAGUACGGUCGCAAGGCUGAA